rnacentral:rRNA from 1 species
UACGAAGGUCCCAAGCGUUGUUCGGAAUCACUGGGCGUAAAGGGAGCGUAGGCGGCGUGGUAAGUCAGAUGUGAAAUCCCGGGGCUCAACCCCGGAACUGCAUCCGAUACUGCCAUGCUAGAGGAUUGGAGAGGUAGCUGGAAUUCUUGGUGUAGCAGUGAAAUGCGUAGAUAUCGAGAGGAACACCUGCGGCGAAGGCGGGUUGCUGGGCUGACACUGACGCUGAUGCGCGAAAGCCAGGGGAGCGAACGGG